rnacentral:rRNA from 1 species
UACGUAGGGUGCGAGCGUUAAUCGGAAUUACUGGGCGUAAAGCGUGCGCAGGCGGUUCGUUAUGUCCGAUGUGAAAGCCCCGAGCUUAACUUGGGAAUGGCAUUGGAAACUGGCGGGCUGGAGUGCGGCAGAGGGGGGUGGAAUUCCACGUGUAGCAGUGAAAUGCGUAGAGAUGUGGAGGAACACCGAUGGCGAAGGCAGCCCCCUGG